rnacentral:tRNA from 1 species
GCAGGGAUCGCGGAGCAUGGUCAAACGCGCAAGGUUCAGGGCCUUGUCCCUUAGCGGGUUCGGGAGUUCAAAUCUCCCUCCCUGCA